AUGUUCCAAUUGGCAGCACAUACACUAAAAUUGGAACAACCCAGAGAGUACACAGGCCUUGAGCAAGAAUGACACUCAAAUCCAUGAAAUGUUCCAUAUUUUU
ensembl:snRNA U6 U6 spliceosomal RNA